rnacentral:tRNA from 1 species
AACGUGGUAGCUUAAUUGGUAAAGCAUUGUGCUACGGCCAUAAUUAGUAUAAGUUCAACUCUUAUUCACGUUG